CUUCUAGCAGUCUGUUUAAACAUCAAUACUCCAAAAGUAUGUAAAGCAGAACCAUCUGACUUAUUGCCCACAGUGAAUGUAAUUCAUAACUUUAUGCCAGAAAUUUACAAUCCCCUUUCGUGUAUAAAAAGUUUCCUGUCACGGUUUUACAUCUACUCCAUGGCUCUGCUCUGGAUGGAAACACUUGGUGUAAUCUCUUUAGAGAUAAAUAAGCCCUCUGCUGAAAGUUAAAUGAUGCCAUUAUUUUCUGGAUGUUUAUAGACAUCAUCCUGCCUCGCUCCCAUGCCUGGAUCCAAGACAGCCCGAAUCUUUGUUUUCCAUUUCCGAAAGCUCUGGAGGAGAGAAUGAACAUGAGUGUGUAGGAGGGGCAGAGGGGCAGGCAAGGCGAGCCAGCGCUGGUUUCACACACAAACGUGAAGAGCCAAGUGGCAGAUGAUGGACACCCCAGCUGCUUCCUUGGCCAGGAGCGUGUUUAGUCUAGGAUGCAGCCUGGAUCCUAGCAGGGCUGGGAAAGGAGACGACAAUUGCAAGAGACACGGGGAACAGGACCGGGACUCCAGCCACAGGGAAGGAAACCUUCACUGUGUAAAGCUGCUUGAGCAUGGCUGUGCUCCUCAAAGCUUGAAUAGAAAGCAUUUGGCAAACAUCAGGAGCAAAUCCAGAGAGCUGGCUUCCAGUUCCUGAAUGUCUAAGCCCCCAUUUACAUCCCUUCUCAGCAGGGCAAACUGCUCCCACCUCAAGCUGAGCUGAGACUUGUGUGCCAGAGAUGAACUGAGGAGUGCGAGCUGGGAAGUGGCACUAUCAGAAAGGAUCUUGGAGAAGGGAUGUUUCCCAUAAUCUUCUUCUACAAAACCUUGGGAGCAGAUACAUCCCCUUCCUCCCUUGUGUUUAACAAGCAGAGGAGCUGGGGAUGGUUUAGCUUCACUUUUUGCCAGCUGCACUGGGGUGCGAACACUGCCAGCUUCUUCCAUUCUUCCUUCUUCAAUUUUUCCAUUCUUCAUUCUUCCUUCUUCCACUGGGAGAAGGGAGAGACAAAACGAGUGUGAGACAUGGCCAAGGAGAUAGGACUUUUCAAGUUUACAAAGCUGGCCAAGCACGUGGCUCUUGGAAUCUUUCCUGCCAUCCCCAUGGUCCCAAGGAGGGAUGGUGGUCACCCACGAGUGACAAGGGGGUCCUGUUGCUGGUCAUGGCUAGGAGGACAGUCCUCAUGGAUCCUGAGCAGAGACAUUGGCAGUCUCUAAGAUGCUUCUUUAAUGCACAUUACAGAAGGAAGAAAGUAAUUCUGCAGAUAAAUUGCAAACUUAUUUUAGCCUUCUAGAAAGUGCAGAAGUUUAGAACAGCCUCCACCUGCAAAACUAAUUUAACAACAUAUCUGCACGACGUUUUGUGGAAACCUGGUGGCCUGUGUUGCCCAGCACUCGUUGGAGUGCAUUUUUGACUUCCUUAAGAGCACAGCUACCUCAUCUCGGGGUAAUUAGGUAGUUGGAAGCUCCAGCUGGGCCUAAACAAACAUCUUUUACUCUAACAAAGAAAGUUAUUGUCUAGCCUUUCAGGACACAGUUUUCUGUAGUAUGCAAUGACUCUAAUGUCUAUUAAUUAUUUCUAAAUGGUUUAAGCAUUAUCUGCCUUUGGGUAAAUUCUUUCUAUAUAGCGUAAUCUAACCUGUGGGAGGGGAUAGAAAAAA
ensembl:lncRNA